rnacentral:rRNA from 1 species
UACGGGGGGAGCAAGCGUUGUUCGGAUUUACUGGGCGUAAAGGGCGCGUAGGCGGCCAGCACAAGUCAGUUGUGAAAUCUCCGAGCUUAACUCGGAAAGGUCAACUGAUACUGUGCGGCUAGAGUGCAGAAGGGGCAACUGGAAUUCUUGGUGUAGCGGUGAAAUGCGUAGAUAUCAAGAGGAACACCUGCGGCGAAGGCGGGUUGCUGGGCUG